UUUGCAGUUCCGUGAGGCAGGGCGUGCGCACGGGAAACUUUAGAGGAAAUGCAUUACUUUUUUCUACGAGUGAUUCGAAUGUAACGGGAGGCGGAACCGUCGUUUCGACGCAUUCCUGAAGCAGUUUUUUUGUGGCAUCGUCUAGCCGACUUCUGUCCUGCAGACCGAGUCGAUUCGCCCAUUUGAUAUCGGGAAUUUCCCUUUCAGAAAACGCAGCAUUACCGCGUUUCCUGGAAGCCUAUUAAGCAGCGAUAAUUUUUUAGUUCCGGUACCUUUCGUUGUGUCGUACGCUGGAAUGAAACUCAACGGUGUUGGCACUGACCACCGCAUCGGACUGUACAUUAUAUCCAGAUUACCACGUUCGAAACCGCGCCCGUAAUAAUGGUAUUGAAAUACGUACGACACCAGCGCUCGCUCUCUUCGUUGUAGAAGCAGCUUUGGGUUUUGGAGGCAUUUCGUCGGUCUCCUACUUGGACCAGCUCAAGGUCAAUUUCACCGACUCAGACAACGAAUGUUUCACAAGUUAUCGCACCUCGGAAGCGAGUCUCCUAUUUAUGAACUCGACUCGUUUUAUCAGCGAGCCGAAGCGACCGAACGCUGCCUACAACCCAUUCACCAUCACUCGAUCGCUCCCACUCUCAGAUAGUCGCUGAUAUUC
rnacentral:misc_RNA from 1 species